rnacentral:sRNA from 1 species
AUUUGUCCUGGGGAGAUAAAGUGAAUAUGGGAGUCUAUUCCACCUGCAGUUAUUAUUUGGCCCUCAGCAGAAAGUAUUUCAGUAGUUGCGCCUAUUUCUAAACCUUCAGUGAUACUAUCACAAUUGUUUGGAUUACCACUUUUUCCAAUGGCCGCUAUCUUCCCAUCUUUUAUAGCAAUAUCAGCUUUGUAAAUACCUGUAUAAUCUAUAAUAAUAGCAUUGGUGAUAAUCAAAUCAGCAGUUUCUAAGGCAGUUGGGGAUUGACUCAUCCCAUCUCU